rnacentral:rRNA from 1 species
AGCGAACGCUGGCGGCAGGCCUAACACAUGUAAGUCGAACGAACCUUUCGGGGUUAGUGGCGGACGGGUGAGUAACACGUGGGAACGUGCCUUUAGGUUCGGAAUAACUCAGGGAAACUUGUGCUAAUACCGAAUGUGCCCUUCGGGGGAAAGAUUAAUCGCCUUUAGAGCGGCCCGCGUCUGAUUAGCUAGUUGGUUGAGGUAAUGGCUCACCAAGGCGACGAUCAGUAGCUGGUCUGAGAGGAUGAUCAGCCACAUUGGGACUGAGACACGGCCCAAACUCCUACGGGAGGCAGCAGUGGGGAAUCUUGCGCAAUGGGCGAAAGCCUGACGCAGCCAUGCCGCGUGAAUGAUGAAGGUCUUAGGAUUGUAAAAUUCUUUCACCGGGGACGAUAAUGACGGUACCCGGAGAAGAAGCCCCGGCUAACUUCGUG